rnacentral:rRNA from 1 species
GACGAACGCUGGCGGCGUGCUUAACACAUGCAAGUCGAACGAUGAAGGAGGAGCUUGCUCCUCUGGAUUAGUGGCGAACGGGUGAGUAACACGUGAGCAAUCUGCCCUUGACUCUGGGAUAAGCGCUGGAAACGGCGUCUAAUACCGGAUACGACCCUCGGAGGCAUCUCCUGUGGGUGGAAAGAACUUCGGUCAAGGAUGAGCUCGCGGCCUAUCAGCUGGUUGGUGAGGUAAUGGCUCACCAAGGCGACGACGGGUAGCCGGCCUGAGAGGGUGACCGGCCACACUGGGACUGAGACACGGCCCAGACUCCUACGGGAGGCAGCAGUGGGGAAUAUUGCACAAUGGGCGCAAGCCUGAUGCAGCAACGCCGCGUGAGGGACGACGGCCUUCGGGUUGUAAACCUCUUUUAGCAGGGAAGAAGCGAGAGUGACGGUACCUGCAGAAAAAGCACCGGCUAACUACGUGCCAGCCGCCGCCGUAAUAC